AACUGAUACUACCUGCGGGAACCUGCGGAAGGAUCAUUAUCGAGUUUACAACUCCCAAACCAUUGUGAAUCUUACCUUUUCGUUGCUUCGGCGGGAUCGCCCCGGGCGCUUCGGUGCCCCGGAUUCAGGCGCCCGCCGGGGGACCUAAACUCUUGUAUUAUAGUGGAUUUCUGAGUGGAUUACACAAAUAAUCAAAACUUUUAGCAACGGAUCUCU
rnacentral:misc_RNA from 1 species